rnacentral:misc_RNA from 1 species
GGAAGUAAAAGUCGUAACAAGAUUUCCGUAGGUGAACCUGCGGAAGGAUCAUUAUUGCAUAACCGAGGUGCGAGGGCUGUCGCUGACCCGAAAGGUCGUGCACGCCCGAGUGCCCUCACACACAUCCAUCUCACCCCUAUGUGCACCACCGCGUGGGUCCCCCUUUGGCUUGUUCGGAGGGGGGCUUACGUUUUCACACAAACUUUGUAUGCAGUGUAGAAUGUAUUUUCUGUUUUUGCGAUCACGCAAUCAAUACAACUUUCAACAACGGAUCUCUUGGCUCUC